CAUCAGACACGAAGGAGAGGCCAACAGAUGAGGGAAGCCAUUUUUCUGCAAUGGAAUUAAAUGGCCAAGUGGGUUUUUCCUUUGUUGCAAAUGGGGAAUGUUUUUCCUUUGACUCUACCAUCCAGUUCAGGACGUCUCAGUGUGUUUAACAUUUGUCAACAGGCCCAAGGACUCACAGUUGGAAGACUGGAGAAGACUUUUUAAAAAGAUCUGGAUUUUUCCUUAUGACUUGGAAUCCAUCUUUGUCUUGUAUAACUAGGUCAUAGCACACCAUUCAUGUCAGCAGUUAACAGUUUUGAAUUCCAAAAAAACCUAAAGCAGUAAACAGUCCUCAGCGAAGCCGCCUUUUUGCCUACCCAACCCUGGAAAGUUUGCAGAAGUGGAAGGAGCAGAACGUGAGGGUGUAACUUACAAAAAGGUUCUGGGCCGGAGAAGGGGCGACGUUCGGGCACCCCCCGAAUGGACAAUCUUUCCUUCUGUCAACGGCAGGGGCAGGCCUAGUUUGACUCUGACAGUCCUCCCACUAAGGAAUUCCUGGUGACUGGAAGGGGGAGUGACUCAGGCCCUCAACCUCUAGCAGGUAAGGGAGCUACCUCCUGGGUGGGCAUGCCCAGUUCCUCAGUGGGCCCAGCGCGGCCCAGCCUCCGAGGAAGCUCUGAGCAGCUGGCUUGGCUCCGAGGUAUUUUUAGCUACAGAUCCAGCCCCCCUCCAUCACCACAACAGUCGAGUCCAAAUCAAACGCGCUCCAGGCAGGUGGGGCUGGGGUUCUGCCAGCCUCCUGGCCAGCAGGGGUGGGUGGGCAGACUGGGGCCAGUAUCAGCUGUUCUGCCUGGACCCAGGCCGGGCUGGGAAGGCACACUUGUGCUUAUUUCCCGCCUCCACUUCUGUGCAAGCUUGUGCUGUCAUAAGCAGAGAUCACAGCCCCAUUUCUUGGAUGGAGAAAGUGGACACUGAGGUCUGAGGCUUUUGAGGACAGUCAGGAGCCCUCCUAUGGGCUCCAGUGAUGCACUCACCAGCUUCUGGUCCUCUUCUUCCACCUCUUAGAGUGCCUUGGCUCCCUCCUGUCGUCCUGGGGAACCUCGGCCCCAGCCCUGCCUCCCCAGCCAGUCACAGCUCCUCCCUGGUCACCCUGAGGGAGCUCAGGGCCCGGCUGGUAGCUGGGUUGCUCUGCUUCUGUCCCCCACUCCUGUGGAGCCUGGCAGGCAACUCCAUGAUCUGACCCCGGUUACCUUGACAGCCCUGCCUGGCCUCCCCUCUCAUGGCCCAGCCACCCCAGAACCUGAAGAGGUUUUCUAGCUGCCGUGCAUUUGCCAGGCUGGGUUACCCACCCUACUUUCCCUGCCUGCCCUCCAGUGCUGCCAGGCCUAGUGUGCCAGCCAGCGCUCAGCCUUCAGUAAAGGGUUCCCCUGCUUCCAACCUCCAUUGCACUGCUUCCCCUAAGACUGUGACCUCCUGGAAGGCUGGAGCACAACUGCCUCUCAAUAAACGUGUUGCAAAAAAGGAAAAAAAAAAAAAAAAAA
rnacentral:lncRNA from 1 species